GGGGAAUUUUCCGCAAUGGGUGAAAGCCUGACGGAGCAAUACCGCGUGAGGGAGGAAUGCCUUUGGGUUGUAAACCUCUUUUCUCAGGGAAGAAGAUCUGACGGUACCUGAGGAAUAAGUAUCGGCUAACUCCGUGCCAGCAGCCGCGGUAAUACGGAGGAUGCAAGCGUUAUCCGGAAUCAUUGGGCGUAAAGCGUCCGCAGGUGGUUUCCAAAGUCUGCUGUUAAAGACUGGAGCUCAACUCCGGAACGGCGGUGGAAACUUGGAAACUAGAGUUCGGUAGGGGUAGCAGGAAUUCCCAGUGUAGCGGUGAAAUGCGUAGAUAUUGGGAAGAACAUCGGUGGCGAAGGCGUGCUACUGGACCGUAACUGACACUCAGGGACGAAAGCUAGGGGAGCGAAAGGGAUUAGAUACCCCUGUAGUCCUAGCUGUAAACGAUGGAAACUAGGUGUGGCUUG
rnacentral:rRNA from 1 species